GCCGGCGUGGCGCAAUGGUAGCGCGUAGCUUUCCUAUAUCUUUACUAGAAAGGCUGAAGUUGCGGGUUCGAUCCCCGUCGUCGGUU